AUUGAACGCUGGCGGCAUGCUUUACACAUGCAAGUCGAACGGCAGCGCGGGCUUCGGCCUGGCGGCGAGUGGCGAACGGGUGAGUAAUACAUCGGAACGUGCCCAGUAGUGGGGGAUAGCUCGGCGACAGCCGGAUUAAUACCGCAUACGACCUGAGGGUGAAAGCGGGGGAUCUUCGGACCUCGCGCUAUUGGAGCGGCCGAUGGCAGAUUAGCUAGUUGGUGGGGUAAAGGCCUACCAAGGCGACGAUCUGUAGCUGGUCUGAGAGGACGACCAGCCACACUGGGACUGAGACACGGCCCAGACUCCUACGGGAGGCAGCAGUGGGGAAUUUUGGACAAUGGGCGAAAGCCUGAUCCAGCAAUGCCGCGUGUGUGAUGAAGGCCUUCGGGUUGUAAAGCACUUUUGGCGGGAACGAAAAGGACUGUGCCAAUACCACGGUUCGAUGACGGUACCCGCAGAAUAAGCACCGGCUAACUACGUG
rnacentral:rRNA from 1 species